rnacentral:rRNA from 1 species
GCCUGGCGGGUGCCUAUACAUGCAGUCGAGCGGACAGAAGGGAGCUUGCUCCCGGAUGUUAGCGGCGGACGGGUGAGUAACACGUGGGUAACCUGCCUGUAAGACUGGGAUAACUCCGGGAAACCGGAGCUAAUACCGGAUAGUUCCUUGAACCGCAUGGUUCAAGGAUGAAAGACGGUUUCGGCUGUCACUUACAGAUGGACCCGCGGCGCAUUAGCUAGUUGGUGGGGUAAUGGCUCACCAAGGCGACGAUGCGUAGCCGACCUGAGAGGGUGAUCGGCCACACUGGGACUGAGACACGGCCCAGACUCCUACGGGAGGCAGCAGUAGGGAAUCUUCCGCAAUGGACGAAAGUCUGACGGAGCAACGCCGCGUGAGUGAUGAAGGUUUUCGGAUCGUAAAGCUCUGUUGUUAGGGAAGAACAAGUGCGAGAGUAACUGCUCGCACCUUGACGGUACCUAACCAGAAAGCCACGGCUAACUACGUGCCAGCAGCCGCGGUAAUACGUAGGUGGCAAGCGUUGUCCGGAAUUAUUGGGCGUAAAGGGCUCGCAGGCGGUUUCUUAAGUCUGAUGUGAAAGCCCCCGGCUCAACCGGGGAGGGUCAUUGGAAACUGGGAAACUUGAGUGCAGAAGAGGAGAGUGGAAUUCCACGUGUAGCGGUGAAAUGCGUAGAGAUGUGGAGGAACACCAGUGGCGAAGGCGACUCUCUGGUCUGUAA